CGACAGAGGAAUGGAUAAAGAAGAUGUGGUACAUACAUAUGAUGGAUUAUUAAUCAGCCAUAAAAACAAAUGGAAUUUUGCCUUUGUCAGCAACAUGGAUGCACCUGAGGGGUAUUACGCUAAGUGCCUGAGUCCUCAGGUCCCAGCCUGGGCAGCCACACCUGUGCUCAGAAACUACCUUGGACCAUGGGGAUGAGGCUGACCUUUCUGCUCGGGGGUUAGUCAAGACGUGGAAACAACCCAAGUGCCCAUCAACAGAAAACUGGCUUAAUAAGAUAUGAGAAGAAAAGACAUACACAGUAAUACUACUCAGCCAUAAAAAUUGAAAAAUUGCUGUUUGCAGCAACAUUGAUGGGUCUAGAGAACAUUAUACUUAAUGAAAUGUCAGGUAAGAAAAAGACAAAUGCUAUAUGAUAUCACUUAUGUGUGGCAUCUAUAAACACAAAUAAAUCUAUACACAAAACAGAAACACACAGACAUAGAAAGCAAACUUAUGGUCAACUGUGAUAAAAAAAAAGAAAAAAGAAAACAAAUUUACGGUUAUCAAGGGGAGAGGAAAGGAGGGAGAAAUUAGGAAUAUGGGAUUAACAGACACAAGUGCUAUAUUUAAGAUAGAAGGGCAAUAUGGGUUUACUGUAUAGCACAGGAAGUUAUAGUCAGUAUAAUAACCUAUAAUGGAAUAUAAACAAAAAAACA